AAUAUCUAGAAUAAAUAAGAACGAGAUGACCAUAACCAAUGACAAAGACGAGAUGACCAUAACCAAUGACAAAGACAGGUUGUCAGCGUUCGAAAUUAAAGAAAUGACUGAAGAAGCUGAGAGGUGCAAUGUGGAAGAUAAAAUUAUUUCAAGGAAGGCCAAGGUAAUAAGUGUGUUCAUAUCUUGUUUUAUAAAUCCAAGACUGUCUAGUUUUUUUUUUUCUUUAUUUAGAUGUCUUGCUUUUAGCAAGUGCUCAAAUCUUUAGGUUAAUUAUCAUUAUCUAACAUUAUUGAAGUUUAUUGUAAAAUUUGCAUUGAACAUGUUACUUAAAUUUUGUUUCUGUUUUCUACCUUGUUUUAUAGUUUUAGCAGCAUCUUUGAAAACCAUGCUUCCAUAUAAAGAUCUCUCUCAAGCCCUUGUGUGGUUGAAACCGUUGCAGAGCUAGACAUCUUCAAGAAAUAGAAUUGAC
rnacentral:lncRNA from 1 species